UACGUAGGUGGCAAGCGUUGUCCGGAUUUAUUGGGUUUAAAGGGUGCGUAGGCGGCUUUGUAAGUCAGUGGUGAAAUAUGGCAGCUUAACUGUCAAGGUGCCAUUGAUACUGCAGAGCUUGAGUACAGAUGAGGUAGGCGGAAUUGACGGUGUAGCGGUGAAAUGCUUAGAUAUCGUCAAGAACACCUAUAGCGAGGGCAGCUUACUAAGCUGUAACUGACGCUGAGGCACGAAAGUGUGGGGAUCAAACAGG
rnacentral:rRNA from 1 species